AGAAGUCGGAGAAGAAAUACACCAUGUAACGAUGUUUAAAGCAGGUCUUGUGCGGUUACAGAGGACAUGACAGCAUCAAGAGUUUGUAGGAGAAUCAUGAUGAUAAUCAGUUGCAAUGUGAACUAGCAAAUAACCUUGAAGUACAAGCAGAUCCAAUUAAUGUGGAACAAAUAAAGGAGAAUCAUGAUGAUGAUAAGUUGCAAUGUGAACUACCAAAUUACCAUGAAGUACAACCAGAUUCAAAGCAUAUGGAACAAAUAGAGGUGGAAUCAACUUCACUUCAGACGACAACUUUUCCAAACACCUUGUGAAAGUCAUCUGAAUGCCAGGAUUCUCAAGAGCAUGAAUAUAGUCCAUUACAAAGAAGGAAGACCUUGAUUAUGUAUCUUGAUGUCAUUGGUGAAAAGGCAGAGGUCUAACACUGACUGUUAAGAAAAUGACUUGACAGCUGAAGGGAACAUGAACAAUUUGAAUCAGAUUUCUGAUAGGGCUCUUAAAGCAGUGAACUAAAAACAUUUUCUUACUAAGUUUAAGAUUUUGAUAUCAAAGUUUUUGAAAGGGGGGUAUAGGAAUCACCCUGUUUGUUUGUCCAUCUGUCUGUGGACAACACUUGGAUUAUACUGUUCUAGCUCUAGUUGGUUAAAAUAGAUAAUAUCUAAAAUCAAAUGUGUCAUACUUCUUGUUUACUGUGCAUAAAUGUACUUUGAAGAACAUACUGUAUAAGUAGAAUUUUUAGCGAGGAUUAAAUUUUGGCAUUAUUAGAGAGGGUGCUGACAUUGCUAAAAUUGAAUAUUUCUAAAAAUUAAUGUCUUAUUAUUUGUAAUAGCUUCUUUAGUUAACAUUUUAAAAUCGCUAAAAUUACUUCUGGCUAAAAAUAAAAUACCAGACUUUGGUAGAAAUCGCUAAAUUUGCAUCUCGCUAAAAUUUCCACUUAUACGAUAUAUUAUUUCUAGCAAAAUAUUUCUGUAGAAUAUUUGACUGUACACUUCAGAAAAAAUUCAGUCUCAGUAUCAGGUACAAGAUAUGCUGUAAUGGUGCCUAGUUGUGUCACCUGCAUAGCAAGGGGACUUUUAGGGAUCACUUCUCCAUUGUCUGUCAGUCUGACUAGCUGACCAUCAGUCUAUCUGUCUGUCACAAUUUGAUAUGUCAUUCCUGAGACAAACAUUUUCAAUGGAAAACUCUUGUUUUAUGUUCAUAUCUGUGAUACUUUCAGUGAGCAUUGAUAUUUGACCAGUAGAUUGGUCUUUGAUAGAAAAAUAAGAUAAAACUUGAAAUAUAAAGUUGCUGUAAACUACAUUUACACAAGCCUUGCUGAUGUUAAGGUUUAUUUUCAUUUGAAGAAGUAUAAGGUCGUCUUGUGUUUAACAGACACAACUUCUCAUUAUACCCCCUGUAAACGAAGUUUGGGGGGGAUGAAUAUAGGAAUCAGCUUGUCUGUCUGUCUGUCUAUCCAUUUGUCCAUCUGUCUAGCUGUGCAAACAUAUACGGUCCAUAUCUUUCUUACGGAGAAACAUUAGAAUCUAGUACUCCAUACAAAGAUUGCUCAUGACCUAAGAGUGUGUCAUGACCUUGACUCAAGGUCAUUUGGGGAAGUUCAAGGUCACUGGAAGAAAAAUUUCAUUAUUUGUGUCCGUUCCAUAUGUUUCUUAUGGAUUAACUUGGUAAGUUCCCAUUUUACAAAAAGAUUCCCUGUGACCUAAGGGUGUAAAACAGGAAUUUGUCUUGAGGAUGUGUCAUGACCUUGACCCAAGGUUCUUUGUGUCAGUUUAAUGUCACUGAAAGGAAAAACUUCAUAAUUUGUGCUUGUCCAUAUCAUUCAUAUUGAUAAACUUGGAUACUUUCUUGUUUACACAAAGAUCACUUAUGACAUAAGGGUGUAAUGACUUUGACCCAAGGUCAAUUGUCCAAGUUCAAGUGCACAGACAGUAAAAAUAAUAUAAUUCAUGUCUGGUCCAUAUCUUUCUUAAGGAUAAACUUGGAAGGUUCCCACUUUA